GGUCCUAUGGUGUAGCGGUUAGCAUUCUGGCCUAAUACAACAAUACUUUGGUGUUGCGAAUAUAAAGCUAGCGAGCCUGGUUCAAUUCCAGGUAGGACCA